rnacentral:lncRNA from 10 species
UUCUAGCCUAUCUAAGGGCUUUGGAGAGCAAAAGCAAAAGAUUAACUAACUGCUCACAUGGGUCCCAGGAAAAUACAAAAGCACUACUGUUUAACAGGAAAGUUACUAUCCAGAAAUUAACCCACAAAGGUGGGAAGAGUAUUUACCCGCUAAUCUCUUUAUUCCCUCGCCUGACAAAAUAUCUGCAUUCCUGGGCGGCCUCAAGAAAUGAACUACAGACAUCUAUUCCCUUUGUGAUACCUCCUUGGAAUCAAAGUGUGGAGUGUAACAAUGUGCCUCCACACACUCACACUAGUUGAUGCUUCAUCUUGGUGAAAUCAAGUUUUUGGAAUUACCUUUCCUAAGAUCAUUCUAUUCACAGAGAAGGAGCUUAAUGAAACUAUGGUGGAUGUAUUCUAGACAGAAGAAGGAUUAAACCAAGAUAAAAACAAUGUGAAUGAGGAAAGUGGGAGUAACAGGGAUUCCAAGAGAAAGAUUUUCCAUUUGUCAAAAAUGAGGAGUACUAAUCAGUAGUGCUAUGGAAACAAGACACUAACAGUUAUAGUCCGGAAGAAGAGAUGAUAACAUCUGUCCCUAAAAAGAGAAAUAUGUCUUAACCUUAAAGAAUCAAGGACUCCAGGGAUCUUUAAGUUCUGGUAGUGAGGAGAGUCAAAAAGGUAUAUCUCACCAAAGAGCCAGUGAAAAGAUGCUGUGAGAAUGGGUAGCCAUCGAAAGCAAUUCUGUUCAUCAGACAAGAGUUCUUGCUAUUUACACCACAUCUGCAGUGACUUCCUCCACUGAAGUAUUGAACCUUUAAAGUCAUCCAUGAAGGUUGAAAUCAACUUCUUCCAAACUCCUCAUAGGAUUGAUAUUUUGACCUCCUCCCAUAAACGACAAAUUUUCUGAAUGUCAUCUAAAAUGGCAAUUUUUUUCCAGAAGGUUUUCAACUUUGCCCAGAUCCAUUAGAGGAAUCACUGUAGCAGUUAUAUCCUUAAUAAAUGUAUUUGUAAAAUAAUAAUACUUGAAAGUCAAAAUUACUCCUUAACUGUGGGCUACAGGAUAGAUGUUGUGUUAGCAGUCAUGAAAAAAACAUUAAUCUCCUUGAACAUCUUCAUCAGAGCUCUUGGGUAACCAGGUGCAUUGUCAGUGACCAGGAAUAUUUUGAAAGGAAUUUCAAAAGGUCUCAACAGUAAGGCUUAAAAUAUUCAAUAAACCAUACUGUAAACAGAUGUGUUGUCAUCUAGGCUUUGUUAUUUCAUUUCUAGAACAAAUGCAGAGUAUAUUUAGCAUAAUUCUUAAGGACCCCAGUAUUUUCAGAAGGGCUAAUGUGUAUCGUCUUCAUCUUAAAGCCACCAACUGUAUUAGCUCCUAAAAAGAGAGUCAGCCUGUUCUUUGAAGCUUUGAAGCUAGGCAUUGACUUCUUCUCUCUAGCUACAAAAGUUCUAGAGGGCAUCUUCUUCCAAUAGAAGGCAUUUUGGUCUACAUUAGAAAUCUGUUGUUUAGUGUAGCCAUGUUCAUCAAUUAUCUUAGGCAGGAGAACUUCAGCUGGAGAACUUGCUGUAGCUUCUUGCACUUGCUUCACUUGCACUUUUAGGUUGGAGACGGUUUUAUAAAGAUAAUUUAUUUUCUUAAAUCCCAUGAAUCAACACCUACUAGCUUUAAACUUUUCUCUUCAGCUUCCUCACCACUCUCAGACUUCAUAGAAUUGAAGAGGUUAAGGCCUUGUUCUGGAUUAAGCUUUGGCUUAAGGAAAUGUUGUGGCUGAUUUGAUCAUUUUUAUUCAGACCACUCAAAAUUUCUCCAUUAAGCCAUAGGCUGUUUUGCUUUCUUAUAAUUUGUGUGUUCACUGGAGUCACACUUUUAUUUUUUAGAGACAAGUUCUUGCUCUAUUGCCCAGGCUGCAGUGCAGUGACACAAUCAUAGCUCACUGCAACCUUGAACUCCUGGGCUCAAGUGAUCCUCCUGCCUCAGCCUCCCAGGUAGCUGGGACUAUAGACAUGCACCACCAUACUUGGCUUAUUUUUUUUAAAUAAGUCUUCACUAUGUUGCCCAGGCUGGUCUUGAACUCCUGGUCUCAAGGAAUUUCCCCACCUUAGCCUCCCAAAACUCUAGGAUUACAGGCAUAAGCCACCACACCUGUCCUGGAGUAGCACUUUUAAUUUCCAUCAAGAACUUUUCCCUUGCAUCCACAACUUGGCUACUUGUUGCAAGAGGCCUAGCUUUCAGCCUAUCCUGACUUUCAACAUGCCUUCCUCACUAAGCUUAGUCAUUUCUAGCUUUUGAUUUAAAGUGAGAGCCAUGUGGCUCUUCCUUUCACUUGAACACUUCGAGUCCAUUGUAGAGCUAUUAAUUGCCCUAAUUUUUUUAUUGUUGUUUUAAUAUUUGCUACUACCACCAAGAUCUGCGCCUGCAGUGGCUCCACCCAGGCCCAUGUUCUAUUAAGGGACAUUGCAAUGGCCCUUCUACUCAUCUUGGCAUAGUGUCUUUAGGCUUGGGAGAUCUGAGCACUGCUCUGUCCUUCCUGCUCUAGUCCCUCUACUAGCAAUGGCUGCAUAUUGGCUCAACUCCUCAGCACCAUCCAUUUUCAGGGACAGUUGAGUAGUCAGUUGAGUUGUUAUACACUCCUUAGUGGAUUCUGACUUCCAUGGUCACUGUACUGUUGUAUAAUCAACUAUCCUAAUUUCAACAUUGUUGUGUCUCAGGGAAUAGGGAGGCCUGAAGUUAAGGAGAGACAUGGAGCAAUGAUCAAUCAGUUGAGCAAUCAAAACACACACAACAAUUAUCAAUGAAGUUUACUGUCUUAUAUGGGCAUGUUUUCUGGUGCCACAAAACAAUUACAAUAGUAACAUCAAAGGUCACUGAUCACAAAUCACCGUAACAGAUAUAAUAAUAGUGGAAGUUUGAAAUAUUGCAAGAAUUACCAAAAUGUGUCACAAAGACCUGAUGGACUUGCUAGAGGCAAGGCUGCCAAAAACUUUCAAUUUGUUAAAUAUGCAAAAUCUGCAUGGUAAAAUAAAGCAUAGCACAAUAAAAAGAAAUAUGCAUGUAUACACUAUUUAUAAUGUAUAUCCCUACAUAUAAUAUAUAUCAAUAUAUAAUAAAUGUACGUAUUGUUACAUAUUUGCAAAUAUAUAUGGUGAAAUAUAUCCAUGAGUUGCCAAAUCUGUUUUCACAACAUUAUGAACCUUCAAAAACAUGCCCAGCAAGGAGUCAUGAUGGCUGUGCAUACCCACGAACAGGGUUGAUUAGAAACAACUGUUUCAUUUACACAACACUGGGUCAUAUGACAAAUAAAUAACAGCAACCUGCCUAUUUUUAAAAUUUUGACAUCUUGCUUCUCAUGAAUUUUUUUAAUUUUUGAUUUUUUAAAUUCAUUGCCUUAACUAUUAUUUAGCCUGAUUACUGAGUUUUUGGCACCACUUUUAAAAAAAUAACUCAUUUAUUUUGAAAUGAUUUUCAUUGUAUAUAUUUAUGGGGUACAACAUGACUUUUUCAUAUAUGUAUACAUAAUGGAACAAUUAAUCAAAGUAAAUAACAUAUCUUCACCUCAUAAACAUCUUUUCUGUGGUUAGAACAUUUAAAAUCUACUUUCUUAGCACUUUUCAAGUAUGUAGCACAUUAUUAUUAACUAUAGUCACUCUGCUGUAUAACAAAAUAAAUGUCCAGAACUUAAUCAUCUUGUUUAACUGAAUCUUUCUAUAUUUUGACAAACAUCUGUCCUUGUUCCCAGCCUAUGAAAAGAAUACCCUACUCUUUUGAGUUCAACUUUUUCAGAUUCUACAUAAAAGUGAGAUCAUACAGUAUUUUUUUCUGUGCCUAGCUUAUUUUACUUAGCAUAAUAUCCUGCAGAUACAUCCAUAGUAUCUCAAAUAGCAAGAUACCCUUUUUUCUAAGGCUGAAUCUUAUUCCAUUGUGUGUAUCCGUCCCAUUUUCUUUAUCCAUUCAUCCAUCAAGAGAUAUUAUUUUAUUGUCAUAUCUUGGCUAUGAAUAAUAGUUCGCUAUUAAGAAUAAUGCUGCAAUGAACAUGAGGCUGUAGAUACCUCUGUGACAUAACUGAUUUCAUUUCCUUUGGAUAUACACACAGAAGUGGAAUUGCUGGAUUAUGUGGUAGUUUUAUUUUUAAUUUUUGAGAAACCUCCAUACUACUUUUCAUAAUGGCUAUACUAAUUUACAUUCCCACAAACAGUGUGCAAGGGUUCCCUUUUCUCUACAUAUUUGCCAAUAUUUGUCUUUUGUAUUUUAAUAAAUGCUAUUCUCACAGGUGUGAAGUGAUAGCUCAUUCACACCUGUGAAUUUGCAUUCCCCUGAUGAUUAGUGAUGUGAAAUAUUUUUUUUUUUGUAUACUUAUUGGCCUUUUGAUUCUCUUCUUUUGAAAAAUAUUUAUUAAAGUUCUGUGCCCAUUUUUUAAUCAGUUUGUUUGUUUUCUUGCAUAGAGUUGAGUUCCUUAUAUAUUUUUUAAAUUAACCCUUUAUCAAAUAUAUUGUUGGUAUAGUUUGAAUAUUUGUCCCCACCCAAAUUUCAUGUUGAAAUGUAAUCCCAGUGUUGGAGUUGGACCCUGGUAGCAGGUGUUUGGAUCAUUGGGGAGGAUCCCUCAUGAAUGGCUUGGGCCGUCUCUUUGGUGAUAAGUGAGUUCUGGCUCUGAGUUCACAUAAGAUCUGGUCAUUUACAACUGUACAACAGCUCCUGGCUACUCUUUCUCUCACUUGCCACUGCCGUAUGGUGUUCCUACUCCCCCUUUGCCUUCCACCAUGAUUGUAAGCUUCCUGAAGCCUCCCCAGAGGCUGAGCAGAUACCAGCACCAGGCUUCCUGUAAAGCCUGCAGAACUGUGAGCCAAUUAAAUCCUUUUUCUUUAUAAAUUACCCAGUCUCAGACAUUUCUUUAGAUCAAUGUGAGUGAGCUAAUACAAUGGUUUACAAAUACUUUCUCUUGUUAAACAGGUUGUCUCAUGAAUAGCUUGUUGAAUGUUUCCUUUGGUGUGCAGAAGCUCUUUAGUUUGAUGUAAUCCCAUUGCUUUAUUUUUCCUUUUGCUGUCUGUGCUUUUGUGAUAAUAUUCAAUAAAUCUUUGCUAAUACCAAUAUCAUGGAGCUUUUCCUCUAGUUUUUG